rnacentral:rRNA from 1 species
GGCGCACGGGUGAGUAUCGCGUUUGUAACCUACCUUUAACUGGAGAAUAGCCCGAAGAAAUUCGGAUUAAUACUCCAUAACACUAUGAUCUGGCAUCUUAUUAUAGUUAAAGCUCCGGCGGUUAAAGAUGGGCAUGCGUAACAUUAGAUAGUUGGUGAGGUAACGGCUCACCAAGUCUACGAUGUUUAGGGGGUCUGAGAGGAUGGUCCCCCACACUGGUACUGAGACACGGACCAGACUCCUACGGGAGGCAGCAGUGAGGAAUAUUGGUCAAUGGGCGCAAGCCUGAACCAGCCAUGCCGCGUGAAGGAUGACAGCGCUACGCGUUGUAAACUUCUUUUGUACAGGAAGAAACGCUUCUACGUGUAGAAGUCUGACGGUACUGUACGAAUAAGCAUCGGCUAACUCCGUGCCAGCAGCCGCGGUAAUACGGAGGAUGCAAGCGUUAUCCGGAUUUAUUGGGUUUAAAGGGUACGUAGGCGGAAAAUUAAGUCAGUAGUGAAAUCCUGCAGCUUAACUGUAGAACUGUUAUUGAUACUGGUUUUCUUGAAUAUAGUUGAGGUAGGCGGAAUGUGUAAUGUAGCGGUGAAAUGCUUAGAUAUUACACAGAACACCGAUUGCGAAGGCCAGCUCACUAAGCUAUGAUUGACGCUAGAGGUACGAAAGCGUGGGGAGCGAACAAGAAUUAGAUACCCUGAUAGUCCACGCCGUAAACGAUG